rnacentral:sRNA from 1 species
ACCCUCUUUUAGCAGCUUCUCGACUGUUCGAACUGUGCACGAUCUUCAGAGUUGUGGUUCCCAUCAUGAGCCGUGGCAAUGCUAACUACUUGGUCGAAUAAUCCAUUUUUGGAUCCUAUUUAUGGGUAUUGGAAAAUGUAUUGCCAUGUGAGAAUUCUUGACUUUGAUGUUGAUGUGGCUAGCAGUCAUGCAUCCAAACGCUCCCACCACGGUUUAUACUGGUAGUGUUUAAUUAUUCUGCUAGUCAGGGUUCAAAAUAAUGACCGAGCCUACUAUUAUGAAAGCUUCAAAAGUUUCAGUUUAAAAACCCAGAAGUGGAG